GAAUGGUCUCUGGGAGAUGGCAGCAAGGAGGGUUUCAGUCCCGCCUCACUCCACCCUACCCUGGACAGAGUGACUCAGCACUUCCUAUUAUUAUGAAGGCCAACCCCAAGAGGCCCUACCAAGGCUGACUGAGGCGCCAGCAACUGUUCUCCUCCUGGCUCCUGGUUCAUUCUAGGUCUGUAAAGCAAAAGGUUGUCUCAGAAGGGGUGUGUGGAACUCAUUCUAGUGUUUGAGGUGCCUUUACUACUUUUGAUUUUUUUUUUUACUUGAGCCAACAUCUGGAACUGGUCAGGCUUUGGGUUGAUGCCAGAUGCUCUAUCUGAUAGGAUUGUCUCAUGAUAAUUAACGUUUAUUGGUGAUCGUUGGGCGCCUGACAUUGUGUGAAGAACUUUAUGAGGACAUCUUAUGUAACUCUCAGAAGCUGACCGCAAGCCCUGGUCGCUCAUGUAGCACAGUGCCUGAAGUAGAGGAUUCUCCCAGCAUGCUCCUUCAUGUAGUGUCCUGCAUUCCCUGUGGUGGCCAGAAAUCUGCUUCCAUUAAGAGGACAUGAAGGGAGCCGAGCGAGCCCAGGGCUAUGCCAGGAGGUUCCUGCUUAGAGCUUUUCACCUAAAGAUUGUUAAAUGAAGACAUAACAUUGUUUAACCAUAUGUCAUAUUAUGUAUUUUGUAUUAAGAUUUAUUGAUCUCAGAAUAUAAAUGUA
rnacentral:lncRNA from 1 species